GCGAUCAUACCAGCACUAAUGCACCGGAUCCCAUCAGAACUCCGAAGUUAGGCGUGCUUGGGUGAGAGUAGUACUAGGAUGGGUGACCCCCUGGGAAGUCCUCGUGUUGCACCCC
rnacentral:rRNA from 11 species